rnacentral:piRNA from 1 species
UAAAGAAAAUUAGUUUUCUCCAAUGGAUUC